rnacentral:lncRNA from 1 species
CACCCCCAGGAGAGAAAGAAAGUUGGGCUGGAGGCGGAGGCAACAGCCAUGCCUAUUUCCUCCCCUUGACUCCGCGGCCGGCGCUGGGGCCGCGGCGGAGGCGGCUGACAUGGUCAACAAAUUUAUCAAAGAAUCCCCUGGCUUUUGAAGAAUAGUACUUUAUGCAUCUGGAUCUGCACAUCCAGGCAAAGCUCAGAAAUACCCAUUUAUUCUUUAACCACAUGGAUGUGUCUAUUUUUGGAGGAAGAAGGAAACAUAUAAAUGCCUGGGUUGCAUCUAUGCUGUAGUUGCAAACACUGAACAGUUAAGAAGAUUUUGCCUAAUUCUGCAAAGCAGCCAACAAAGCGCCUUGGGAUCCUGGUAAUACAAGUAGGAAGACUCUUGCUCUCCUUUGGCAAUGUUUUGGAUAUCCUUGAAAACGACAGCAAACUGUGCCUCAAUUUGACUAAGAAGAGGUUAAACCAUAUUGAUAUUCAUCCAAAGUGAUUUUGUGAAACCAGAUGCUUGGCUUUCAUGGAAAAAAAAAAUGGGAGUUGUGGAAGAUUCACCUAAACUACCAACUCAAGCAUCCCAGACCACUGAAAUAGUCUGCAUUGUACUUCAGCACUUUCUUUUCAUCGUUAUUACGUAAAACCGCUGGAAGCACCUUGGGCGUUUUACAUUUUCUUUUCUUUGCUGCACAAGGAAGCAGUCUACUCCCUGGAAUUCUGAUCUGUCGUGAACAGGACCCUGGCACAGGCUGUGUUGGAGACUCCAGGACAAUCCCGCCUCUAAACAGCCCGGUUAAUUGUGAAAAGUGUACACAUUUCUGGCUUAUCUAUGCUUUGUUAUGGGUCUGACGUGAAACUACCUCCUUCUCACCCCACCCCCCAGCAGAGAACCGAAAUCCAGUAGAAUUGUUAGUGUUUCGGAGCUGGAGCCUUGAACUGCUUCCUUGGUCAAAUAACUUUGUUUCUGGUUGUAAAAAAGCCAUUUCGGGGGGGAAAAAAGGAAAAUCGAGAGAAAUUCCAAACGUAAGUGUGUACGGGGGUGGUUCACAGCGUGGUUUAACUUUGGAGCUGCAGUCUCGUUCC